rnacentral:tRNA from 1 species
CGGGGUGUAGCUCAGUGGUAGAGCGCGUCGUUCGGGACGACGAGGCCGCCCGUUCAAAUCGGGUCACCCCGA